GUGAGGAAUAUUGGUCAAUGGGCGAGAGCCUGAACCAGCCAAGUAGCGUGAAGGAUGACUGCCCUAUGGGUUGUAAACUUCUUUUAUAAAGGAAUAAAGUCGGGUAUGGAUACCCGUUUGCAUGUACUUUAUGAAUAAGGAUCGGCUAACUCCGUGCCAGCAGCCGCGGUAAUACGGAGGAUCCGAGCGUUAUCCGGAUUUAUUGGGUUUAAAGGGAGCGUAGAUGGAUGUUUAAGUCAGUUGUGAAAGUUUGCGGCUCAACCGUAAAAUUGCAGUUGAUACUGGAUAUCUUGAGUGCAGUUGAGGCAGGCGGAAUUCGUGGUGUAGCGGUGAAAUGCUUAGAUAUCACGAAGAACUCCGAUUGCGAAGGCAGCCUGCUAAGCUGCAACUGACAUUGAGGCUCGAAAGUGUGGGUAUCAAACAGGAUUAGAAACCCUAGUAGUCC
rnacentral:rRNA from 2 species